CAAAUCAAUCAGGUGGAACUUCUCAGCAAAUCACAACUUCACUUCCUCGAAAAUCGAGUCUCUCUCCCUCCCCCCCAACACCUGCGGGGGCUGGGGGUACCUUUGUGACUUUCUCUCUGUUUCCCCAGUGGGAGAGAGACAUGAAAGGAACAAAAUAAACCAAUAUGAAAAUAAAACGGGGGGGGGGGAAGGACAGCCUUUUAACCUGGAAGUCUCUCCAAAGGGGAUGGAAUGAUUGACCAGAACACGUUCAGUCCAGGUUUUCCUGAUUAUGGAGAUCUUUGGAACGGGAUCAAAACAGAAGUGAAACCAACAACGGACUCCUAAAAUUAUCAACAGCUACACAAGAGGCAGAAAGUCAACUGGUAUAGUUUGUCCCAGCAUGGAAAUACAGUGACAGAAGACACUUCACCUUUUGCAUUUCUCCCUGUCACAGUUCUAUACAUUACCUUGUUAGCUGCAAACACCUCCACCCACCUGCCAUUUGCCAUGGAAUUCUGCCUGGUUUAAAAGGGUAAAUAUACAGUAACUGAGAUGGCAAGGAGUGGCAUGGGGUGCAACUAUGGGGGAGCUGGAGCCACGCUACCUGUACAGCAUAUGAAUCUGCCCCCAUCUUUGCUAUCAGUGUGCAUCUUUUGUCAGGAAGAAGAGGAUGAGGGAGGUUAUGUGACAUUGCAUCAAACGAUUGCUAUCCCACACUUCCGACUGCAUUUUCCCAUCACCUUCUUUCCGCAAAAAGUCUGAUUGUUUUGGAAGCGGUUUUUUUGCACAUCCUCGAUGUGUUGGUGUGGCACAGUUCUGCUCUCCCCAAUCUGUGCCUUUAUGAAUGUCUCCCCCGUCCUCCAUCAUCAGUAAAUGGAGGAGUCAAGUCCAAGAGCUGAAGAAAGGCUCCUUUUCCCACCUGGAUUAUCCAUCUCCAGCCAGUUUCUAUCCCCCGGGCAUUCUUUUGAUUGCCUUGUGAUUGUCUGGACAAUGCCAGCUGUCAGUCAAGACCCACUUGGGUCAAAACUCUUACAAGUGGACUGUCACAGCCCUUUGUCCCUCCAAGUCCCUCAGCUGACCAUGUACCUCUACACAUGAGGAUGUCAGAGAGACUAAAGAGCUAUGAGGAGCACAUUAACCACUGGAAACCUUACUCAGCUGCCCUGUGGGCUUCUGAGAUUUACCAGGUACUACCCCUUUGCUUUCAAUAUUAAAUCUGCAGUCAUAAGUGUUAGAAACAUGAAAGAAAGAAAGAAAGAAAGAAAGAAAGAAAGAAAGAAAGAAAGAAAGAAAGAAAGAAAGAAAGAAAGCGGAGCAACUUGGGAAGCUGAAUUUUGCAUCCAAUACACCAUCUACCUGUUUCUCAUGCUCCUAUGGAAUGAUGACAUCCACACAGAUGACUGAUCAUCUCUCUUGGUCUUGCAAUGCAGCCUCAGCUCAGAGUUUGCAACUUCCCAUUCUUCUCUGGCACUGCUCAGCGGAGCACAGAGCAGAAAUUCACAGGAACUGUUUCUACAGCUGAGUACAUUAAAUUGGAAAAGAGAGCCAUUGCCAUAGCAACCACAUAUGGCAGGUCAUAUGGUGACACUUCAGGGGUGUUUUUCCCCCUCGCUCCCCAUCAAUGGUUUUGAUCCUGAAUUAUUUAUAUAUUGAACUUCUUUCCCCCAGUUUUCAGUUUGCUAUUUUCACUGCUGGUUGCUUGUUAAUAUUUGGGGGAGAUUGGUUGCAUCCAAUGGGGUCACUCGGUUGAUGGGAAGGCUUGUGUCAGUGGAAUGGGGGGGGGAAUCCAUGCUAUACUUGUGCUGAAGGAACUGCACCAGCUGCCAAUCAGUUACUGGACCAUGUUCAACGUCCUGAGACCAGGUUACCUGAAAGACUGCCUCCCUCUGUAUAAACCUGCAAGAUCACUUGGAUCAUCUGGGGAUAGUCUGCUUCUGGCACCUCAUCCUACAGGACAUCAUGGGGUGGUGACCUGUAUACAGCCAUUUUCUGCUGUUGCCCCUGUACCAUGGGAUGCCCUUCCCUUUGCCAUAUGUGAAGCAGCAAGCAUCGGUGGCUUCAGAUGUUUUGCAAAUUCUUAUCUUUUUGCUCAAGCUUUCUCUGACCCUUAAGACUGGAUCCUGCUUUAUGUGUUUGAAUCCCCUGAAUUCCCAAUUUAUUUGUUUUUUAUAUCCUUCCAUGCUGCUGUUUUACUGGUUUUAGGUUUCCCCCCUCAUGUUUUAAUGAUAUAUUGUUUGUUUUUUAGACUUUAUACCACUUAGAGGUUUUUGAAAUAGUAAGCAGUUUAGAAAUGCUUUCAAAUAAAUAAAUAAAAUGUUCAGCAAUUCCUCCUCUCCCCUUCAGUGCCUCCUUUCCCUAAAUUUGCACUAGAAGGUUGGAGGACCCACCAGAGUUGAUUGAAGGACAUGGCAGAGGCCUGCAGAGUGGAGGGAGAAUAGUUAAAAAUGGCUUCCUUCCCUGUUCCGCUGACAGAAACCUUGCCAUUUGCUGAGUGACGCCAUUGGCUGCAACCCAAUGAUAUGAACGAAAGGCAAAAGAUCCACAGACUGGUUUGCAUGAGUAUAACAUGAUACUGUUAUAUUAUUUCAUCACAGAAAUGCUCAGGCACAUGCCAGUUGGUAUUCUCAUAAAGAAAUAACAUCUUUUAAGAUGUGUUAAGAACCUCUGGCCUGGGGGCCUAGUUAGGUCUGCCAGGCCUCCACAUUUGGCUCAUGAAGCCAUUUUGGCCAAGCCACAUCCACCUGUCCUACAUCUGAUGUCAUAUAUGCAUUAGUUGUGGGGCAGGUAAAGACAUGGCUGGGCCAAAAAGGGACAUCUGCAAUGUCCUAUGCACAGUGUCCCACAUGGAUCUCUCCAAGGGGGGAACCAAAAAUGAUUUGGUUUGGUUUGGUUGAGGUUUCACAUCAACAGUAGUGGUUCCAGUUUGGUUAUGAUUCAAG